GUAAUCCUGCGCGAACGUGGACCUGCAACGUGGUAGAAUAGGGAGAAAAGAAAAAAAGAAAGAAACGAUCGACGAGAGUUACGAGAAACAUGUAUCGAUCCAUGGACGGUGAAAAGGGAAAUGGGAGCGUUUCAGCGAAGUACAAAUGACUGAUAGGAGGACGAAGAUACCGUACUGGUAUUGAUUGCGGUAAUUACGGCAAACAUAUGUAAGCGAAUUAUGGAUGUGCUCGAAUAAACGAUAUGCUAAAAUUCAUGAUGGACGAAUUAAAACUAUUCGUAUUUUUCAGUAUUUUCGAUUUUUUUUUUUUUUUUGUAAAAUUGAAGGGUCUGGACGAAUUCUAUUGACGAAGUUUAUUAAUUACGAUGGUGUGGUAGACGUGUUAAUAACUGUGCUUCCGUGCUUUGCCUUUAUUACCGUUUAUUACCGUUUCAUGUCCUCAUUACGGUAACAAACAUUUGGGACUUUUAUCCUCAAAUUGGAUGAUAUAAUGAACGAUGCGGAUAUUCUUUGAUAUGGUGUGAUAAUGGAUUAAACAAAUUAUAUGCACAUGACCGUCUACGUAUUUACUUGUAAUUAGGACAUAUUGUAAUUAACAAAAUGGAAGUAUUGCGUAUGAUCCUAAUUUGAUGAACAGUGAGCUGUGUACGUGAAUUGCAGUGGAGUGUGCUGCGACAUACGAUGUUAAAACGAGUUAAUGUCGUAGCUUUUAUCAACAGUUUUUAUCGGUAACAUCAGAAUGUUACAAUAAAAGCAGAUGAUGCAAGUAUUACCAUUUAUCAUCUUCAUUUGUGUUAGGUUAUUUAUACUUUCAAUCGAAAGUUUGUACAUAGCUUAACACGAACGAAGUUAUCUUGCACACGACUAUAUUUAUUAUAGCAUUUACAUACUAAUUAAUUACUACUUAGAUUUCAUAUCAUUUGGUAAUACCUCAAUAUGAUCGCAAAAAUUAUAUUAAAAACGAAACGCUUUAUUAGAAAAAAGAGGUACAUAUAUGCAAAUACUUUGUGUAAUCAAAUUGUUAUGUAAAUUGUUAUUUCACUCGCAAGUACUUUCAUAGAGUACUCAUAAACAAAAUAUUUAUUCAGAUUACUGUACACGUUCUCGUUUCUUUGCUGCAACUAGAAGCAUUAAAGUAAAUAAUAAUAAAUAUACUGGUACUCUUAAUAUCAACUAUGUACAUUUGAAAGCAGCUAACUAAGCAAAUAAAAGGCAUACCAAAGUUUAGAAAUCUCAA